GACGAACGCUGGCGGCGUGCUUAACACAUGCAAGUCGAACGAAGAGCGAUGGAAGCUUGCUUCUAUCAAUCUUAGUGGCGAACGGGUGAGUAACGCGUAAUCAACCUGCCCUUCAGAGGGGGACAACAGUUGGAAACGACUGCUCAUACCGCAUACGAUCUAAUCUCGGCAUCGAGGAUAGAUGAAAGGUGGCCUCUACAUGUAAGCUAUCACUGAAGGAGGGGAUUGCGGCUGAUUAGCUAGUUGGAGGGGUAACGGCCCACCAAGGCGAUGAUCAGUAGCCGGUCUGAGAGGAUGAACGGCCACAUUGGGACUGAGACACGGCCCAGACGCCUACGGGAGGCAGCAGUGGGGAAUCUUCCGCAAUGGACGAAAGUCUGACGAAGCAACGCCGCGUGAGGGAUGACGGCCUUCGGGUUGUAAAGCUCUGUUAAUCGGGACGAAAGGCCUUCUUGCGAAUAGUGAGAAGGAUUGACGGUACCGGAAGAGAAAGCCACGGCUAACUACGUG
rnacentral:rRNA from 1 species